UGUGUGGUAUUUGAGUUGUCAACUGUCUGUUACGUCAGAGUCUUUGACUCGAAACACUUUUUCAGAAGUUUUGGCAGAUUGGAGGGUUACAUAGUUCUGCUGACGGAAGCAAACUCUGUGAGGGAGCACUGCAUCACAUUUGCAUUCGGAGACAAAUCACCUUUACUAUAAAUAUGCAAACUACAUUUCACAGGCCGACCUCCGUCGUUCUCCUUCUGGUUCUUCACUUCAGAGCGGUCUGGGGUUAGCCACCAUCAGUAUCUGGGCUCUGGGGUCUCGUCACAUGGUCCAAGGUCAUCCCAAGCUUACAAGAUGCUAACUGCCAAAGACAAUGGGCAAUUUCGUGCUCAAAUUCCUGUUUUACUAUUAUAUCUUUCAAUCACACUUUCAAAAU
rnacentral:lncRNA from 1 species